rnacentral:rRNA from 1 species
UUUGCUAAGGCCGAUGGCGACCGGCGCACGGGUGAGUAACACGUAUCCAACCUGCCGUCUACUCUUGGACAGCCUUCUGAAAGGAAGAUUAAUACAAGAUGGCAUCAGGAGUCCACAUGUUCACAUGAUUAAAGGUAUUCCGGUAGACGAUGGGGAUGCGUUCCAUUAGAUAGUAGGCGGGGUAACGGCCCACCUAGUCUUCGAUGGAUAGGGGUUCUGAGAGGAAGGUCCCCCACAUUGGAACUGAGACACGGUCCAAACUCCUACGGGAGGCAGCAGUGAGGAAUAUUGGUCAAUGGGCGAGAGCCUGAACCAGCCAAGUAGCGUGAAGGAUGACUGCCCUAUGGGUUGUAAACUUCUUUUAUAAAGGAAUAAAGUCGGGUAUGCAUACCCGUUUGCAUGUACUUUAUGAAUAAGGAUCGGCUAACUCCGUGCCAGCAGCCGCGGUAAUACGGAGGAUCCGAGCGUUAUCCGGAUUUAUUGGGUUUAAAGGGAGCGUAGAUGGAUGUUUAAGUCAGUUGUGAAAGUUUGCGGCUCAACCGUAAAAUUGCAGUUGAUACUGGAUAUCUUGAGUGCAGUUGAGGCAGGCGGAAUUCGUGGUGUAGCGGUGAAAUGCUUAGAUAUCACGAAGAACUCCGAUUGCGAAGGCAGCCUGCUAAGCUGCAACUGACAUUGAGGCUCGAAAGUGUGGGUAUCAAACAGGAUUAGAUACCCUGGUAGUCCACACGGUAAACGAUGAAUACUCGCUGUUUGCGAUAUACAGCAAGCGGCCAAGCGAAAGCGUUAAGUAUUCCACCUGGGGAGUACGCCGGCAACGGUGAAACUCAAAGGAAUUGACGGGGGCCCGCACAAGCGGAGGAACAUGUGGUUUAAUUCGAUGAUACGCGAGGAACCUUACCCGGGCUUAAAUUGCAGAUGAAUUACGGUGAAAGCCGUAAGCCGCAAGGCAUCUGUGAAGGUGCUGCAUGGUUGUCGUCAGCUCGUGCCGUGAGGUGUCGGCUUAAGUGCCAUAACGAGCGCAACCCUUGUUGUCAGUUACUAACAGGUUCUGCUGAGGACUCUGACAAGACUGCCAUCGUAAGAUGUGAGGAAGGUGGGGAUGACGUCAAAUCAGCACGGCCCUUACGUCCGGGGCUACACAUGUGUUACAAUGGGGGGUACAGAGGGCCGCUACCACGCGAGUGGAUGCCAAUCCCAAAAACCUCUCUCAGUUCGGACUGGAGUCUGCAACCCGACUCCACGAAGCUGGAUUCGCUAGUAAUCGCGCAUCAGCCACGGCGCGGUGAAUACGUUCCCGGGCCUUGUACACACCGCCCGUCAAGCCAUGGGAGCCGGGGGUACCUGAAGUGCGAAACCGCGAGGAGCGCCCUAGGGUAAAACUG